AUUACAGCUGAAUAACAUGUUAUUCGAAGGUGUUACUUCUGAAUAACAAAACCGUUCGCACUAGCAUUUUAGGUAAUACUAUUUGACAGCUGACAGCAUGUGUCAAGCGCCAAAUUUUUUCGAGCAGUUUGUUGUUUGUUUACAAAUAUGCAGCGAGAUUCUUCAAAUUAGAAUUCAAUUAUUAUUAAUCAAUUAAUCUGUUUGCGAUUUAACAACUGUUCAGCGGUAAUGAGAUUUAUUAAUUUGCUAUUUUCUUCGUAAUUGCAAGAAGCGGACCAAACUCCGAAGUAUGGGAUGAAACUGAUAGUGAUUAGUGUGCGCUAAAAAGCCAGAAGUAUUUGUGUGCUUUGUUUAAAUUUUAUUUUGCUCAUUUUUCCUUCGGAAAUGGGCUAGGAACUGUAGUUACAAUGUGUAUUAUGUGUGUGUAUAACAGGAUUCCUGGAACCCGAACUAACUCGAGAACUAUGGUGGAAAUUCCAAAAAUAUUCAGUGCUAUCGUUUGGAGCGACCGACGGCUUUUUACUGGGAUGCGUCUAGUUCUUGCACCCAAUGGGAAGUGUCAUCAGUGUUGGUUGUCCUCCUCUUUUUGGUUGUAUCGUUGAUCGGAUUAUUCUGCACCUAUUUUGUAGAUCCAGUUUUGCUCAAAAGGUCACCAAUCGGAAAACCACAAGUUGCCGGUAGUGAUAGUAUUAUAAUUGGUUUUAAGAGUAAGAAACCCACCGUUGUUUCACCCACAAGAGGAUGUACGAAGUAACUUCCAAUUUUUAUAAUAAAAUAACAAUUAAACAACGAAGGAUGAUAUCGCACGUAAUCAUCAUCAGAGAUGGUAUUAGUUGCCAAAAUCAGAUAAAACCAUUCAUCACAUUCCAUUUAUAUCACAACUUAGGUGAACGAGGCCAGGCACGGAACUACGUUGUUGUGUUUCGCUAGGAAGGGAUCGUGGAGUACUACUAACUAAAAUAGAUACUAGAGUAAAAUGAUUCAAACGAAAUAAAGAUAUUCAAACGCAUUCACUUCUUCUUCUUU